rnacentral:rRNA from 1 species
AACGAACGCUGGCGGCAUGCCUAACACAUGCAAGUCGAACGAGACCUUCGGGUCUAGUGGCGCACGGGUGCGUAACGCGUGGGAACCUGCCCUUAGGUUCGGAAUAACUCCCCGAAAGGGGUGCUAAUACCGGCUAAUGUCUUCGGACCAAAGAUUUAUCGCCUUUGGAUGGGCCUGCGUUGGAUUAGCUAGUUGGUAGGGUAAAAGCCUACCAAGGCGACGAUCCAUAGCUGGUCUGAGAGGAUGAUCAGCCACACUGGGACUGAGACACGGCCCAGACUCCUACGGGAGGCAGCAGUGGGGAAUAUUGGACGAUGGGCGAAAGCCUGAGCCAGCAAUGCCGCGUGAGUGAUGAAGGCCUGAGGGUUGUAAAGCUCUUUUACCCGGGAUGAUAAUGACAGUACCGGGAGAAGAAGCUCCGGCUAACUCCGU